rnacentral:lncRNA from 10 species
AAAUAAUCAAAUGACCUGUAACCCACAGACACACUUCAAAGAAUCUCCUGUGACAUGAGAGCAGAACCAAGAGGCCACAGAGCAUCAGUGAAUUUCCAACCAAGGUGGGAAGACAGAGGGCAAGAUAAGUAAAUGGAUCAGUGUUACAAAGAUAAAACAUAAUGGAUGUUGGAUGAUACGGUGAGUAGAAUUCAAAGAUGGUCUCCAAGAUUCCUACCUCCUAAUGUUCAUGCUUUGAAUAAUCCCCUCCCUCUGAGUAUGGGUGACUGAAAUAAUGGGAUGUAACUUCCAUGAUUAGGCCACAAUGUAUGGCUAAAGUCAAG